AAAAAGACAAACCCUAGUUUCCGUGUCCAACGUUUGAUCGUUCGUCUUAUUUGAAAAAAUUAGAAAAAAAAUUAAAAAGACAAGUCACGCAUAAAAUAUUAAUCAUGUUUUAUUAUCUAACAAUAAUGAAAAUAUGAAUUAUAAAAAAAAUUCAUAUAAGAUAGACAAUCAAAGUUGAACACGAAAAUCUAAAGUUUGCCUUUUU
rfam:Oryza sativa (indica cultivar-group) chromosome 2, whole genome shotgun sequence.